AUCGCAACUGGCGAUGGUGGAGAACCACCGGGGAGCGAUCAAACCAUCUGCCGUACGUGGCCGUCCGCCUGGGCCGC
rnacentral:ncRNA from 1 species